rnacentral:rRNA from 1 species
AACGAACGCUGGCGGCAUGCCUAACACAUGCAAGUCGAACGAGACCUUCGGGUCUAGUGGCGCACGGGUGCGUAACGCGUGGGAACCUGCCCUUAGGUUCGGAAUAACUCCCCGAAAGGGGUGCUAAUACCGGAUAAUGUCUUCGGACCAAAGAUUUAUCGCCUUUGGAUGGGCCCGCGUUUGAUUAGCUAGUUGGUAGGGUAAAAGCCUACCAAGGCGACGAUCCAUAGCUGGUCUGAGAGGAUGAUCAGGCACACUGGGACUGAGACACGGCCCAGACUCCUACGGGAGGCAGCAGUGGGGAAUAUUGGACAAUGGGCGAAAGCCUGAUCCAGCAAUGCCGCGUGAGUGAUGAAGGCCUUAGGGUUGUAAAGCUCUUUUACCCGGGAUGAUAAUGACAGUACCGGGAGAAUAAGCUCCGGCUAACUACGUG